GAUGAACGCUAGCUACAGGCUUAACACAUGCAAGUCGAGGGGAAACGAUAGAGAAAGCUUGCUUUUUCUAGGCGUCGACCGGUGCACGGGUGAGUAACGCGUAUCCAACCUGCCCACCACUUGGGGAUAACCUUGCGAAAGUAAGACUAAUACCCAAUGAUAUCUCAAGAAGACAUCUGAAUGAGAUUAAAGAUUUAUCGGUGAUGGAUGGGGAUGCGUCUGAUUAGCUUGUUGGCGGGGUAACGGCCCACCAAGGCGACGAUCAGUAGGGGUUCUGAGAGGAAGGUCCCCCACAUUGGAACUGAGACACGGUCCAAACUCCUACGGGAGGCAGCAGUGAGGAAUAUUGGUCAAUGGGCGAGAGCCUGAACCAGCCAAGUAGCGUGCAGGAUGACGGCCCUAUGGGUUGUAAACUGCUUUUAUAAGGGAAUAAAGUGAGUCUCGUAAGGCUUUUUGCAUGUACCUUAUGAAUAAGGACCGGCUAAUUCCGUGCCAGCAGCCGCAGUAA
rnacentral:rRNA from 1 species